GCUAUGUCGGUGCAGGCGGCCGCGGGAUUACGGGGGUGGAAGGCGUUUUCCGGAUUCACUGGGUUUAAAGGGUGCGUAGGUGGGCAGUUAAGUCAGUGGUGAAAUCUCCGGGCUUAACCCGGAAACUGCCGUUGAUACUAUCUGUCUGGAAUAGUGUGGAGGUAAGCGGAAUAUGUCAUGUAGCGGUGAAAUGCUUAGAUAUGACAUAGAACACCAAUUGCGAAGGCAGCUUGCUACACAGUUAUUGACACUGAGGCACGAAAGCGUGGGGAUCAAACAGGAUUAGAUACCCUGGUAGUC
rnacentral:rRNA from 1 species